rnacentral:rRNA from 1 species
UACGGGAGGCAGCAGUGGGGAAUAUUGCACAAUGGGGGAAACCCUGAUGCAGCAACGCCGCGUGAAGGAAGAAGUAUUUCGGUAUGUAAACUUCUAUCGACAGGGAAGAAACAAAUGACGGUACCUGAAUAAGAAGCACCGGCUAAAUACGUGCCAGCAGCCGCGGUAAUACGUAUGGUGCAAGCGUUAUCCGGAUUUACUGGGUGUAAAGGGUGAGUAGGCGGUCAUGCAAGUCAUAUGUGAAAUGUCAGGGCUUAACCUUGGCGCCGCAUAAGAAACUGUAUGACUAGAGUGCAGGAGAGGUAAGCGGAAUUCCUAGUGUAGCGGUGAAAUGCGUAGAUAUUAGGAAGAACACCG